GCAGUCGAGCGGGGAGAUGUAGCUUGCUACAUUUCCUAGCGGCGGACGGGUGAGUAAUGCUUAGGAAUCUGCCUAUUAGUGGGGGACAACAUUCCGAAAGGAAUGCUAAUACCGCAUACGCCCUACGGGGGAAAGCAGGGGAUCUUCGGACCUUGCGCUAAUAGAUGAGCCUAAGUCAGAUUAGCUAGUUGGUGGGGUAAAGGCCUACCAAGGCGACGAUCUGUAGCGGGUCUGAGAGGAUGAUCCGCCACACUGGGACUGAGACACGGCCCAGACUCCUACGGGAGGCAGCAGUGGGGAAUAUUGGACAAUGGGCGAAAGCCUGAUCCAGCCAUGCCGCGUGUGUGAAGAAGGCCUUUUGGUUGUAAAGCACUUUAAGCGAGGAGGAGGCUACUUGGAUUAAUACUCUAGGAUAGUGGACGUUACUCGCAGAAUAAGCACCGGCUAACUCUGUGCCAGCAGCCGCGGUAAUACAGAGGGUGCGAGCGUUAAUCGGAUUUACUGGGCGUAAAGCGUGCGUAGGCGGCUUCUUAAGUCGGAUGUGAAAUCCCUGAGCUUAACUUAGGAAUUGCAUUCGAUACUGGGAAGCUAGAGUAUGGGAGAGGAUGGUAGAAUUCCAGGUGUAGCGGUGAAAUGCGUAGAGAUCUGGAGGAAUACCGAUGGCGAAGGCAGCCAUCUGGCCUAAUACUGACGCUGAGGU
rnacentral:rRNA from 1 species